ensembl:lncRNA
UCUUUUAGAGUAGAGGAACUUGCAGCAGCGACAAUUUGUGCACAGGAUGUUGAUGAUCAGAUAAGGGAAAAUAGAGCGAGCAACCGGACGUGAAAGCAGGGUUUAAAGAGUUCUAAAGGGAUGAGUAACGUUGAAGAGUAUACAUAAAUACAAGUCAAUAAGUUAAGAAGAUAAUUAGGAUCAGGCUUUUGAUUAAAGAGUCCCAGAUAGGAUAAGUUAGGGAGAUGCAGAAAAGGUGUUUUGUUUCCUUUGCAGAAGAUCUCGGCGACCACAGGAGGGGCGAGGAUCCUGGAGAUCUCGAGGUUCGAGACCACCAGAGGAGGGUCUGCGUGAGGACACAAUGUAUUGUGACCUCUGGUGUUCCAGAGGUCAUGAGUGGGAGUGUCGAGAAGGGAAAUUAUUUUACUGCUAUAGUUAAAUAAUUGUCAUCAUUACCAUUGCAUUAAUAAUAAAAUCUGGAGGUUCUUGAUUCAGGGGUAGAACAGUGUGUGUCUUUCAGAAAGGCUAAAAGUCACAGGCUGACAGGAAACAGGCUUGCAGAGAGUUUGCACAAGCAGGAAGUUAUUUUAAGCAACAGUAUGAUCAUUGCUUUAACAAUGUAACAGAUAGCUUUAAGAAGGCCUUAAGAUGCUUAUGCACACAGUUAUUAUGUUUAGUAGAGGUUCCUGAUUAAAACAUUUAUUUAGUAGAAGACAUACACAUAGUCUCAGUGAGCUUCUGGUCUGGUAAAAGGUCAGAAGUGCAACAGGUGAAUUGAGAAAGAGCAUUUGAGGACGAGACACAGACAGUAGGUGAAGAGGUGACACAAAGAGCAUGUGAGACGCACACACACACACACUCAGUUAGAGAAUCAUUUAUAGGUGAAAGUUUAAUCAUGUUUUGCUGAUGUUGCAAAGAGCAGUUUGUCGCAGAACUGCUGCGAGCAUCCGGCAGUGACAGGAAGCACCUGUUGUGAAGAUAGGAGACAAUUGUUCUUUUAAACUGUGUCAAAAGUCGUUGUGGUUUUGAUUUGAUCUAUGUAUAAAAUGUGUCUGUGACGUAUGAAGGGGCGUCAGUAAACAAACCCUGAUGCUAUAAAAUAUCUGUUCAUGCUUUGAUUGAGUCGAGGACUACUGGCUGUCUGCGUACAGAGUGUCCUCCCACGCGUGUAUUCAUUAAAAUCAUCGUUUGACUUCACCCG